rnacentral:rRNA from 1 species
GCGCAAUGGGGGAAACCCUGACGCAGCAACGCCGCGUGGGUGAUGAAGGUCUUCGGAUUGUAAAGCCCUGUUUUCUGGGACGAUAAUGACGGUACCAGAGGAGGAAGCCACGGCUAACUACGUGCCAGCAGCCGCGGUAAUACGUAGGUGGCGAGCGUUGUCCGGAUUUACUGGGCGUAAAGGGUGCGUAGGCGGAUGUUUAAGUGGGAUGUGAAAUCCCCGGGCUUAACCUGGGGGCUGCAUUCCAAACUGGAUAUCUAGAGUGCAGGAGAGGAAAGCGGAAUUCCUAGUGUAGCGGUGAAAUGCGUAGAGAUUAGGAAGAACACCAGUGGCGAAGGCGGCUUUCUGGACUGUAACUGACGCUGAGGCACGAAAGCGUGGGUAGCAAACAGGAUUAGAUACCCUGGUAGUCCACGCCGUAAACGAUGGAUACUAGGUGUAGGGGGUAUCAACUCCCCCUGUGCCGCAGUUAACACAAUAAGUAUCCCGCCUGGGGAGUACGGUCGCAAGAUUAAAACUCAAAGGAAUUGACGGGGGCCCGCACAAGAUU